CAAUAAGAAGAUUGUAGGAAGUCUACGCCGCUUCCUGAGGAAUACGGUCACGAGAAAUUGUGGUUUUCGAAAAGAAAAAAAAAAAAAAAGGAAAAAAAAUCUCGAUAAAACCACAAGCCGCACGGAUUGUCCUUGAUAACCGGCUAAAUGUAUUUCAGUGAAAUACUUUUCAUUAAUGACUUCACUUAAAAGGGGCAAUAAAACGUUCUUUCCGUGGGAAAUAUUUGCUCGAUGAAACGAAUCACAAUUUCUAGGACAAUUCUAUCUCUCUUCGACGCAGCAAGAUUAAGAAAUCAUAGAAAAAAAAAAAUCCCUUCUUUAUUCUAUAAAUACACGAAACAAUCGAACACCGCAACAAACGCAUCACGAAGAAAUUUUAUUCGAGUUAUUCUUUGCAUCUCUUUACAAUUAUCGAAACGCGACUUCGAUGGCAUUUCAAUGGACACGGCGACGGAUGGAAUACAGAAAAAGCGCGGAAGAUCAACUCAGUGUAAGGGUCCGCACGCGGUCUUUCUUCUCGCAUGAAUCAGCGUCCUCCGAUUACUCGUAACGCCGUUAAUAACGCACGGUUUUUCUCGUGGGCGGUUUCCUUCCACGAAUAAUCGAGGCAGAAAGUCGAAUACUUUCGAUAACGCAACUGGUUACAUCGAAUUUUAAUGUAAUUUUGAUACUUUCAUCGUGGAAGAUAUCCCCCUCCACAGAGUUCGAUGACCGACCGAGAGAUACGAUGAAUUUUCGGAAAAUCAGCUGAUUCGAGUCGAUGGAUUACAAAGGUGAAUACGCGUGGAUGGUAUAAAAGGUAUACUUAUGAAUUCACCUUCUAUCUUCGUAACAAUGUGCGAAGACACGAUCGAAUGGUUCGUCAUCGAGACAUUAGACGGUGUCGAUAUUCCCGUGCCGUGCGACCGGAACAAUGAAGACGCAGCGAGUACAAUGCGAGUCACGGCGAUCACGUUGGCCGCGCAUGGAUGUGUCUCAGGCUCGAUGACACAAAGACGAAAAGGCGGAAACAUCGGAGACGGAUGAUAAGAGAGAAAGAAGAAGGAACGAAUGAGAAGGAGGGAGAAGGGAGAAUAGGAAAAAGAAGAUGAAACAGCGAACAAAGCAAAGGGUAGUGCGCGCAUGAUUUACGUACACGAGCAAUAGACUGUAUAAUUUAUCGAUCGAUCGAAAGCGCAUGCGCCGCUGCCCGCGCAUACGCGAUUAUGCAUGCGCGACUGCCGAACAGUACGAGUACACGCCGCGCAAUCGAUCACUGUCCACCUCGUUCGAUGACGUUAAUGAGGUUGAUCGGUAUUUAACGAUACUUUUAGCCUCUUGCAGCCGAUUAUAUGCGCCGUUUGUUUAUGCAACGGAGAAACGAUCCAGCCACGGAUUAAGACGUUGUGCGUGAAAAUUCGAAAUCCUCCUGACCGAGGACACUCAUUGGUUACAAGGCGCAAUGAGUUUAAACAACGAGUGGAUUGGCCAACCUGUCGUGUAAUGAAUCGUGCAGGAUUUUCGUUAUCCUGUGAAAAUAAGACGUGCGUGUACAAACGAGGCAUCGAAAAGAACGGCGAAAGGGGUCCACAAUCGAUCAACGUCGUUCCACAUGAUCGUGCGGAUGAACAUGAUUGGCAGAAUACACAAGUCCAUGGACAGUAGCCGUGGCUCGAAGCGUGCGCCAGGGAGGAAUAAUCUGUUUACAGGAAAAGAAGAAUGAUGGCGCGGCGUGAACUUUCGCACGGAAGUGGCUAUUGAACGACAGACGUCCCGUUUAAUAGGCUCGCCUCGACGACACAACGCAAGAAA